UUUCCCGUACGAUCACCGAAGUUAAGCAAUGUCGAGCCUGGUUAGUACCUAGAUGAGUGACCGCUUGCGUACAUCAGGUGAUGUAA